UUAGUAACUAAUUACGAUUAGUUAAGGUUUUUUCUAAAAUUUUGAUAAAAAGUUUAUGCAUUUCAGAUCAGCAGUAUUUAAAUAUUUAUUUUUUUCAAUAUUACGAUGUGUUUAUAUUUCGCAGAAUUACAUUUAGAAAUGUCUAGUAUUGCUAUCUGUAUUCAACACUGCGAACUACAUGUCCAUUACAGAUUACAGUUCUCCGCUGGUAAACAAUUUGGUGAAUGUCCGUGCUGCGUGGUGAACGUGCAGUGGAUAUUUUAAUUCUUCAUCAGAUGUCGCUACUUACACCAUAUCUUACAAAUUCAUACAGUACAAGUUUUUCAUUCAGUAUUAGUGUUGUUCUUAUAGUUUUCAUGUCAGAACAUCUUCGUACUUUGUCAACAGGAGAGAAAGGAAACAUCAAAAUUCUCCCGAGAAAUAUAUAAUCUGUUCGACAACGAUUCCUUCAUUUGUGUCAUAUUGCUUUUCGGUCAAGAUUGCAAACUGGAUUAUCGAACAUUUGAGGAAUAAAUGCGUCAUAAAUAAAAAGAAAGAAAAGUUCCAGUACCUGUGCAGUUUUGCAAGGGGUGGCAGAGCACAAACGAGGGAUAAGAGAGAAAGAGAGAGGGAGAGAGUGGAAACGAGAGGGAGAUAGGUGGAUGACGGCGACGUACAAAGACGCUUCAGGGGUGACGAGAGCGUGCGAAGGGGGUGCACGGGUGGCGAGGGGAUCUGCCUGCCUGAUGGAGCUUGAAACUGAAUUAACCAUCCCCGCCCGGGGCCCGUGAUCUCGUCGCAACCUCAUCUCGGCGACCAUUAUAUUUGUCUUUGUAUGCUAAACAUUUUGUGGAAUUAUACGAGACAGGUUUCGAAGAGUCGUCUCUCCCUCUCUAUCGCCCUCUCUCGCUCUUCCUUUUUCCGCCGGCCCUCCCUUCAUCCCAUCUCCGCAGCGUGAUCGAGAAACGAUAACGAUUACGGGGCAUUCCUCCCUCGCGCAAGAUUACUUCCCAGGCAAAAAGCGAUCAGCGGAAUAUCGUCGGUUUUACAUGCGUUUUUUUAUGCGCACAGGAAGAAUUUGCGAAUAACGAGCGGAACUGUACUCGAAAAUUUUUGUA